rnacentral:snRNA from 1 species
AUGCUUGCUUCAGCAGCACAUAUACUCAAAUUAUAAUGACAGAAGAUUAUCAUGGCCCCUGCAGAAAGAUGACAUGCAAAUUCAUGAAGUGUUCCACAUUUUU